GGAAGUAAAAGUCUAACAAGGUUUCCGUAGGUGAACCUGCGGAAGGAUCAUUAUUGUAUAACCGAGGUGCGAGGGCUGUCGCUGACCCGAAAGGUCGUGCACGCCCGAGUGCCCUCACACACAUCCAUCUCACCCCUAUGUGCACCACCGCGUGGGUCCCCCUUUGGCUUGUUCGGAGGGGGGCUUACGUUUUCACACAAACUUUGUAUGUAGUGUAGAAUGUAUUUUUUGUUUUUGCGAUCACGCAAUCAAUACAACUUUCAACAACGGAUCUCUUGGCUCUC
rnacentral:misc_RNA from 1 species